UACGAAGGGGGCUAGCGUUGUUCGGAUUUACUGGGCGUAAAGCGCACGUAGGCGGAUCGUUAAGUCGGGGGUGAAAUCCUGGAGCUCAACUCCAGAACUGCCUUCGAUACUGGCGAUCUUGAGUCCGGAAGAGGUGAGUGGAACUCCUAGUGUAGAGGUGGAAUUCGUAGAUAUUAGGAAGAACACCAGUGGCGAAGGCGGCUCACUGGUCCGGUACUGACGCUGGAGGUGCGAAAGCGUGGGGAGCAAACAGGG
rnacentral:rRNA from 1 species